ACGCUCGACACCUACGGGAGGUAGCAGUAGGGAAUCUUCCACAAUGGACGCAAGUCUGAUGGAGCAACGCCGCGUGAGUGAAGAAGGUCUUCGGAUCGUAAAACUCUGUUGUUAGAGAAGAACACGAGUGAGAGUAACUGUUCAUUCGAUGACGGUAUCUAACCAGCAAGUCACGGCUAACUACGUGCCAGCAGCCGCGGUAAUCUGAGCGGGCUGGCAAGGC
rnacentral:rRNA from 1 species